UGGGGAAUCUUCCGCAAUGGACGAAAGUCUGACGGAGCAACGCCGCGUGAGUGAUGACGGCCUUCGGGUUGUAAAGCUCUGUUAAUCGGGACGAAAGGUCUUCUUGCGAAUAGUUAGAAGAAUUGACGGUACCGGAAUAGAAAGCCACGGCUAACUACGUGCCAGCAGCCGCGGUAAUACGUAGGUGGCAAGCGUUGUCCGGAAUUAUUGGGCGUAAAGCGCGCGCAGGCGGAUUGGUCAGUCUGUCUUAAAAGUUCGGGGCUUAACCCCGUGAUGGGAUGGAAACUGCCAAUCUAGAGUAUCGGAGAGGAAAGUGGAAUUCCUAGUGUAGCGGUGAAAUGCGUAGAUAUUAGGAAGAACACCAGUGGCGAAGGCGACUUUCUGGACGAAAACUGACGCUGAGGCGCGAAAGCCAGGGGAGCGAACGGGAUUAGAUACCCCGGUAGUCCUGGCCGUAAACGAUGGGUACUAGGUGUAGGAGGUAUCGACCCCUUCUGUGCCGGAGUUAACGCAAUAAGUACCCCGCCUGGGGAGUACGACCGCAAGGUUG
rnacentral:rRNA from 1 species